UACAGAGGUCCCGAGCGUUGUUCGGAUUCACUGGGCGUAAAGGGUGCGCAGGUGGGUUGGCAAGUUUGAUGUGAAAGCCCCGGGCUUAACCUGGGAAUGGCGGUUGAAACUAGUCGACUCGAAUCUGGCAGAGGGGGGUGGAAUUCCACGUGUAGCAGUGAAAUGCGUAGAGAUGUGGAGGAACACCGAUGGCGAAGGCAGCCCCCUGGGCUGAGAUUGACGCUCAGGCACGAAAGCGUGGGGAGCAAACAGG
rnacentral:rRNA from 1 species